UCCUGGUGGGUGUGGCUCCCUCUUCCCUCUUUCAAGCAGGGUAAGGUAUGUCACUGGGAGAGGCAGGCCACCAGUAUUUCUCAUCACCUCCAACACUGACUUGCAGACAC